CGGAGGCCCCCUGCCCCUGCCCACGCACCCCUUCCCCUAUAGCAGACUGCCUCAUCCCUUCCCAUUCCACCCUCUCCAGCCCUGGAAACCUCACCCUCUGGAGUCCUUCCUGGGCAAACUGGCCUGUGUAGACAGCCAGAAACCCUUGCCUGACCCACACCUGAGCAAACUGGCCUGUGUAGACAGUCCAAAGCCCCUGCCUGGCCCACACCUGGAGCCCAGCUGCCUGUCUCGUGGUGCCCAUGAGAAGUUUUCUGUGGAGGAAUACCUAGUGCAUGCUCUGCAAGGCAGCGUGAGCUCAGGCCAGGCCCACAGCCUGACCAGCCUGGCCAAGACCUGGGCAGCAAGGGGCUCCAGAUCCCGGGAGCCCAGCCCCAAAACUGAGGACAACGAGGGUGUCCUGCUCACUGAGAAACUCAAGCCAGUGGAUUAUGAGUACCGAGAAGAAGUCCACUGGGCCACGCACCAGCUCCGCCUGGGCAGAGGCUCCUUCGGAGAGGUGCACAGGAUGGAGGACAAGCAGACUGGCUUCCAGUGCGCUGUCAAAAAGGUGCGGCUGGAAGUAUUUCGGGCAGAGGAGCUGAUGGCAUGUGCAGGAUUGACCUCACCCAGAAUUGUCCCUUUGUAUGGAGCUGUGAGAGAAGGGCCUUGGGUCAACAUCUUCAUGGAGCUGCUGGAAGGUGGCUCCCUGGGCCAGCUGGUCAAGGAGCAGGGCUGUCUCCCAGAGGACCGGGCCCUGUACUACCUGGGCCAGGCCCUGGAGGGUCUGGAAUACCUCCACUCACGAAGGAUUCUGCAUGGGGACGUCAAAGCUGACAACGUGCUCCUGUCCAGCGAUGGGAGCCACGCAGCCCUCUGUGACUUUGGCCAUGCUGUG
rnacentral:lncRNA from 1 species